AUUGAACGCUGGCGGCAUGCCUUACACAUGCAAGUCGGACGAGUGGCGUCCUGGUGAGUAACGUAUCGGAACGUACCGAGUAAUGGGGGAUAACUGUCGGAAAGGACAGCCAAUACCGCAUAUUAAUCGAGCGGCCGAUGUCUGAUUAGCGGGUUGGCGGGGUAAAGGCUCACCAAGGCGACGAUCAGUAGCGGGUCUGAGAGGAUGAUCGGCCACACUGGGACUGAGACACGGCCCGGAAUCCUACGGGAGGCAGCAGUGGGGAAUUUUGGACAAUGGGCGCAAGCCUGAUCCAGCCAUGCCGCGUGUCUGAAGAAGGCCUUCGGGUUGUAAAGGACUUUUGUCAGGGAAGCGGUACCUGAAGAAUAAGCACCGGCUAACUACGUGCCAGCAGCCGCGGUAAUUC
rnacentral:rRNA from 1 species